UACGUAGGUGGCAAGCGUUAUCCGGAAUUAUUGGGCGUAAAGAGCUCGUAGGUGGUUUGUUACGUCUGCUGUGAAAACCUAGGGCUUAACCCUGGGCCUGCAGUGGAUACGGGCAGACUAGAGGUAGGUAGGGGAGAAUGGAAUUCCCGGUGUAGCGGUGAAAUGCGCAGAUAUCAGGAGGAACACCGGUGGCGAAGGCGGGUCUCUGGGCCGUAACUGACGCUGAGGAGCGAAAGCAUGGGGAGCGAACAGG
rnacentral:rRNA from 1 species